UACGUAGGGUGCAAGCGUUGUCCGGAAUUAUUGGGCGUAAAGAGCUCGUAGGCGGUCUGUCACGUCGGACGUGAAAGUCCAGGGCUCAACCCUGGGAUGCCCGGUGGGAUACUGUCGGACUAGAGUACGGAAGAGGCGAGUGGAAUUCCCGGUGUAGCGGUGAAAUGCGCAGAUAUCGGGAGGAACACCGGUGGCGAAGGCGGCUCUCUGGGACGGUACUGACGCUGAGACGCGAAGCGUGGGAGCGAACAGG
rnacentral:rRNA from 1 species